GAAGAAUUCUCAGGCUGCCUAUUAGAAGACAGAAACUCCAUACGCGUCAUACACCUGCACCCGGGAGGAAAGGCGAGGCUCUGCAUCUAGAUUUACCUCGUUCUCUUUUGUCUCCGCUUUUUUUUCACAUUUCCUUGCGACCCUGGCCCUUGAGCGACAAAAAGGGGAAGCCAAGGCUGGCCCGAGGAACGGAGAGGGCACAUGGCCUAGCCACAAGUGGAGCUUCUGCUCCGCCCGAAGGGAUGCGCUGGAGCGGCCUCUUCCUUCUGCCACGGUCUUUCUUUGCCAACUAGUAGGUGGAGACUGGACCUCAGAAGAGGGAGUGGGUGCCCCGAGAACUCACAGCUAGCGGACAGUGGAAAGGGCAGGAGCCGGACCAAGUGUUCAUCCAUCGCCCUGUAUUAGCGAAGAACAACAUCAAGCUGGCUAGCAAGGAACUGUAUACAGGGUCCAGCUGGGUAUCACACUGGAUCUCACCCAAAGCUUAGAUGUGAUCCAGCUCAGUAUCACAAAGCAGAACGAAAAGGAUGUGUUUGGGCUGAGAGGCCAUACAUUGGCUCCGGCAUGACGGGUGACUUCUUCCGAGUCUGGCUUCUGCAGCACACAGGGCUUCGCCAGCACCCAGCUCCUGCAGCAUGGGCAGCUCCUGUGACAGCAGGCGCCCGCAGCCUGCAAAGCGUCUCCAGUGCCGCCGCCUCAGUGAACCUCAACCAGCGGCACCUAGCAGCUUUCUCUGCCACCCUCUUCAGGUCUGGAUCUAAGCCCAGGGACCAGGAAACCUCUUGCUUGAGUGCUGGAACUCAGGCCAGAAGGUAUGGCUGCUGCUAUGUGCUGUGACCAGAGAAUCAGAGUUCUCUUUACUUCUUACCAGCCAACCUCUUGAAAAUGCCUUUUUGUUUUUUGUUUUUUUUUGAGACGGAGUCUCGCUCUGUUGCCCAGGCAGUGCAGUGGCUCACUGCAACCUCCGCCUCCUGAGUUCAAGUGAUUCUCCUGCCUCAGCCUCACAAGUAGGUGGGAUUACAGGCAUGUGCCACCACGCCCAGCUAAUUUUGUAUUUUUAGUAGUGACGGGGUUUCUCCAUGUUGGUCAGGUUGGUCUCAAACUCUCGACCUCAGGUGAUCCACCUGUCUCAGCCUCCCAAAGUGCUGGGAUUACAGACGUUAGCCAGAGCGCCCAGUCUAAGCCCUUUAUAGCUUAAUUCUAUAUAUUAAAUUUUCCCAGUUCAAAUUACUGUGUGCUUCCCUUCUCCUGAUUGGACCUUGCUUGAUACAAAAUUAGUACAAGGAGUGGUCUCAAGAGAUAGAUGCACAAAGAAGGGAUAUGGGGACGGAUUUGGGUAUUUGGGCUUGAGUGCAGACUGAGCUCCUUGACAAUGAGAAAUAGGAUAUGUAUUAGGGUUCUCCAGAAACAGAAUAACAGAAUCUAUAUAUACAUGUGUAUGUGUGUGUAUAUAUAUAUAUAUAGAGAGAGAGAGAGAGAGCUUUUAUGUGUGUGUAUAUGUAUAUAUAUAAACACACACACACUAAGGUAUUGCCUCACAUGAUUAUGGCAGUCGAGAAGCCCCACAAUCUGCUAUCUGCAAGCUGGAGACCCAAGGUCAGUGGUGCAGCAUUUUUUUUUCAGAUGGGGUCUCCCUCUGUUGCCCAGGCUGGACU
rnacentral:lncRNA from 1 species